UUCAAGUCUGAAUUGCAAACUGCCUGAGU
rnacentral:piRNA from 1 species